CUGCGCCCACGGCCAGCCCUGGCCCCUCUCAGUAGUUUCGGAUCCGCUCCAGGCGUGCUUCCUUCCUGGUGUCAGCCGAAGCGUGGUUGCUGCAGUGCCCAGCCCCCGCUUCUCCAGCCGCCCGCAUGAAGGCGUCCGUUUCUUAAGGGUUCCGCCGUCUACCACUGGAUACUUCCGGUGCGGACCCCAACCUUGCUGUGUCUGUGGCUUCAGCUCCUCCGUAAGGCGGUGACAGAGCCAUGGAAGUUAGGAGGGAAGUGUGAAAGGUCAGGACCCAGCUUAGCUCAGAAGGACACCGCCAGCCACUGCCCGUGACGCCCUUCGGUGUCCGGUGACAAGGCUAGGAGCACCCUGCCUGAUUCGAGCCCGCCCUGCCAAGGGAGGGGCCCACCUGCUGUGUCUCCUGCCCAGAGCUGUGCCCUCUGGGGCUCCCGAGGGCCAGAUGAGGCUGUGAAGUGUGUGUGGCCUGUGGUUAAGAACCAUCUCCAGAGCGAAAAAAACCAGGUGCCCUUGGCCAGUCCUAUCUCCCAAGUUUGUGAGUCUCUAAAGCCAGCCCUGUCCUUGGCGGACUUGAGGGCACUGGACCCAACGCAUUUUUCUGGCUGCCGAGGCCUCUGAGGGGGUUUCUUGUCAGCUCAGCAGGUUUUUGGGUUGCAGGUUUCCACGUCUAUCAAAUGGGGACUAUCAUGCCUACUUCAGAAGAGCAUCUGUGCAGAUUGAGUGACCCCCCAGCAGUGUCUGCAUGUAGUAGGUGCUCAGCCAUGCUCCCCAGGCCAGGACACAGCGCUGCCCACUCCCGCUCAGCCCAGCCCCUGCCUCCUCCAGCCCCAGCCCUCCCCUGGGACGCUCCCUUAUCCUCUCCCUCUGCCUCCCACUCCACCCAGCCGAAGGACUGCACCACACAAUGACACCAAAGGUGGUCUCUGGCCCCCCAGACAGUGGCCCCACCCCUGCUUCCUUGGGUAAGAGAACCAAGACUUCCUUCCUGAGCUGUCAGUCACCCUGACCAGCCAGCACCAUGCUGGUUUAGUAUUUCCCCCUGCCCCAGGGAAGACAUGGACCUCACAGGAAAGGGAGCCAGGAAGGAGGCAGUUCACUGUGCCUUCCUCAGGAAAGGCUGUGUUUCUUCGGGUGGCCACCUGGGCCCCUGGCUCCCUAGAUUCUUGGGGGCUUCCACAAAGGGGUGUGGGGCCUGCGCUUUCCUCACACUCUGGACCCUCUCAACCCAUUUCUGUGUGAUCUGACGGGCUCUGCCCCACAACCAGAGGCCAGAGGGAAGACCCAGCCUAUGGUGGGCACGGGGUCUUCAGGAGGAAGAGGUGGGUGGUGGCCGUGGAAGGUCCCUUCUCUGAAGGGACUCAGGCCUGCAAGAAGGGUAGGCAGGUGGGAGCGGGCCACGCAGCUGCCAACGCUUCCUCCCUGGAGUCAGACUGCCACACAGCUUUAUUAGGGACCUGCAGAGAGGCAGGGGCCCAGCACCCCCC
rnacentral:lncRNA from 1 species